UACGGAGGGUGCGAGCGUUGUCCGGAAUCACUGGGCGUAAAGGGCGCGCAGGCGGCCACGCACGUCCGUUGUGAAAUCGCCCGGCUCAACUGGGCGGGGUCAGCGGAUACGGCGCGGCUGGAGCAAGCUAGGGGGCAAUGGAACUCCCGGUGUAGUGGUGGAAUGCGUAGAUAUCGGGAAGAACACCAGUGGCGAAGGCGGUUGCCUGGAGCUUUGCUGACGCUGAGGCGCGAAAGCGUGGGGAGCGAACAGG
rnacentral:rRNA from 1 species